rnacentral:rRNA from 1 species
GACUAACGCUGGCGGUAUGCCUUAGACAUGCAAGUCGAACGAGUUUCCGGGCUUGCUCGGAAGCUAGUGGCGAACGGCUGAGUAACGCGUAGGUGACCUACCCCGUAGUGUGGAAUAACUGCCCGAAAGGGUAGCUAAUACCGCAUGUUGAGCCGACUUCACUGUUGUCUCCAAAGCAGAAAUGCGCUAUGGGCGGGGCCUGCGUUUGAUUAGCUAGUUGGUGGGGUAACGGCUCACCAAGGCGACGAUCGAUAGGUGGUUUGAGAGGACGAUCACCCAGACUGGGACUGAGACACGGCCCAGACUCCUACGGGAGGCAGCAGUCGGGAAUUUUGCGCAAUGGGGGAAACCCUGACGCAGCAAUACCGCGUGUGGGAUGAAGGCCUUCGGGUUGUAAACCACUUUUUUUGGGGACGAUAAUGACGGUACCCGAAGAAUAAGCCACGGCUAACUACGUG